rnacentral:lncRNA from 1 species
AUCCUCCAAGUGGCGUGAUCACUCACCUACUCUUCCAUCUCCAUAAGCUCUUCUCUUCUCCUUCCUUUCUACUCUUUCAAUUGUUCAUGUUUAAGCUUGUUUCCUUGAAAUUCUGUCUUGUGUUCUUGAGUUUGUGGUUCGGCUGUUCUUAUUUUCCAGCAAUCCUUUUCAGUUCUUUUGCCUUUAAAUUCAUUUUGUUCGGUUCAUAUUGGUUCUUAU